AGAUAGAGAGAGCAAGGAAAAAAAAAGGUGAGCCUUGUCCAUUCCGAGCUCUGCUGCUUAUACUUGGUCUGAGUUGCACUUCAAUUUUUUUGCUCGAUUCGGGAUAGUUGGCUUAGGCUCGAUACCUCGUUGUCAUAUUGAUAUACGGGGAUUGAGGAGACUGAAUUCUUGUACUCUGAAGGCUCGACCCAGUGAGCUAUCUUUUUGGAGUUAUCGCCAUGGGACCGCUGAUCCGGCGGGAUACAAAAUGGACGUCUAGACCGCUGAUCCGGCGGGAUACAAAAAGAGAUGUCUAGACCGCUGAUCCGGCAGGAUACAAAAAAGGGACGCUUAGAUCGCUGAUCCGGCGGGAUACAAAAAGGGAUGCCUAGACCGCUGAUCCGGCGGGAUAUAAAAAAGGGACGCUUAGACCGCUGAUUCGGCAGGAUAUAAAAAUGGAUGCCUAGACCGCUGAUCUGGCGGGAUAUAAAAUGGACGCCUAGACUCCUACUGCCGGAGGAUAAUGGGCAGCCCCCGCUUAUGAGAUAUGGAUAUUGAGAGUUGAGGAUGAUAUGAAUGAGAUGUGCGGGGUCACGGUACCGUCAUAACUCUGUUGCGAGGAAAUGCAACCCUAUGGCUAUAGUGAUUGAUUGUGUUGUAUAUUGUUUGCCUAGUAUGAUUGUUGGAGAUGUGAUGAUUAUUGAGAUUGCUGAAGAUGUGAUGAUUCCUGAAAUUGUCUAAAAUUAGUUUGUGAAAGUCGUGUUGUUGCUAAAGUUGGAUAUGUCAAGUCAUUGUGUUGUGAGUUGCUAUGGAUUGCUAAUGAAUGGAUAUUUGAUGUUUAUGUGAUAUUGGAUAUUAGAGAAAUGGUU